CCCUGAGUACAGUGGCGACCGGGUGAGUAACACGUGACUACCUACCCUUGAGUGGGGGAUAACCUCGGGAAACCGAGGCUAAUACCGCAUAACAUCGCAAGAUCAAAGGAGAAAUCCGCUUUUGGAGGGGGUCGCGGCUGAUUAGCUAGUUGGUGAGGUAAUGGCUCACCAAGGCGAAGAUCGGUAUCCGGCCUGAGAGGGCGCACGGACACACUGGAACUGAAACACGGUCCAG
rnacentral:rRNA from 1 species